UACGAAGGGGGCUAGCGUUGCUCGGAAUCACUGGGCGUAAAGCGCACGUAGGCGGAUUGCUAAGUCAGGGGUGAAAUCCUGGAGCUCAACUCCAGAACUGCCCUUGAUACUGCCGGUCUCGAGUCCGGGAGAGGUGAGUGGAACUGCGAGUGUAGAGGUGAAAUUCGUAGAUAUUCGCAAGAACACCAGUGGCGAAGGCGGCUCACUGGUCCGAUACUGACGCUGAGGCACGAAAGCGUGGGGAGCAAACAGG
rnacentral:rRNA from 1 species